CCUACGGGCGGCAGCAGUAGGGAAUAUUGCUCAAUGGGGGAAACCCUGAAGCAGCAACGCCGCGUGGAGGAUGAAGGUUUUCGGAUUGUAAACUCCUUUUGUUAGAGAAGCUAAUAACGGUAUCUAACGAAUAAGCACCGGCUAACUCCGUGCCAGCAGCCGCGGUAAUACGGAGGGGGCAAGCGUUACUCGGAAUCACUGGGCGUAAAGAGCGCGUAGGCGGGAUAGCAAGUCAGAUGUGAAAUCCUAUGGCUUAACCAUAGAACUGCAUUUGAAACUGUUAUUCUAGAGUAUGGGAGAGGUAGGUGGAAUUCGUGGUGUAGGGGUAAAAUGCGUAGAGAUCAAGAGGAAUACUCAUUGCGAAGGCGACCUGCUAGAACAUAACUGACGCUGAUGCGCGAAAGCGUGGGGAGCAAACAGGAUUAGAUACCCCAGUAGUC
rnacentral:rRNA from 1 species